rnacentral:rRNA from 1 species
GUGGGGAAUAUUGGACAAUGGGGGGAACCCUGAUCCAGCCAUGCCGCGUGUGUGAAGAAGGCCUUUUGGUUGUAAAGCACUUUAAGCGAGGAGGAGGCUACCGAGAUUAAUACUCUUGGAUAGUGGACGUUACUCGCAGAAUAAGCACCGGCUAACUCUGUGCCAGCAGCCGCGGUAAUACAGAGGGUGCGAGCGUUAAUCGGAUUUACUGGGCGUAAAGCGUGCGUAGGCGGCUGUUUAAGUCGGAUGUGAAAUCCCCGAGCUUAACUUGGGAAUUACAUUCGAUACUGGGAAGCUAGAGUAUGGGAGAGGAUGGUAGAAUUCCAGGUGUAGCGGUGAAAUGCGUAGAGAUCUGGAGGAAUACCGAUGGCGAAGGCAGCCAUCUGGCCUAAUACUGACGCUGAGGUACGAAAGCAUGGGGAGCAAACAGGAUUAGAUACCCGUGUAGUCC